rnacentral:tRNA from 1 species
UGGACUGUAGCUCAGUUGGUAGAGUGCUGGUUUGGCAUACACAGAACCAUGGGUUUAAUUCCCAGCACUACAA